UUAGGUGGCAAUAGCGACAGGGUCCCACCUCUUCCCAUUCCGAACAGAGAAGUUAAACCUGUUAGCGCCGAUGGUACUGCAAUCAUGUGGGAGAGUAGGUCGCCGCCUUCUU
rnacentral:rRNA from 1 species